CCCUACUGCUAUCGGGGUGGGACUAAAACAUGCUAGUCGAGCGUCUCCAAGCCAUGGUGGAGGCGCGGCGUACAGCUCAGUAACACGUGGCUAACCUACCCUUGGGACGGGAACACCCCCGGGAAACCACGCGCAGACCGACCACAUAAACACAAACCAAAAAACCAAAAACCCAAACAAGACAAACACACACACCGCCGCCGACAAGCGGCAAAGGCACAAACAACCAAAACCACACGCAACCAAGAAAGAAACAAGGCCGGCGAGCCCAAAACUGGGGUUAAUUCCCGAUGGGUGAGGAGGCCUGGAAUGGUUCUUCACUGAAAGGGCGUUAGAGGCAUGCUCUCUAACGUUGCCCAAGGAUGGGGCCGCGGCCGAUCAGGUUGUUGGUGAGGUAACGGCUUACCAAGCCUAUAACCGGUACGGGCCGUGAGAGCGGAAGCCCGGAGAUGGGCACUGAGAUAAGGGCCCAGGCCCUACGGGGCGCAGCAGUUGCGAAAACUCCGCAAUGCACGAAAGUGUGACGGGGCUACCCCGAGUGCCGUCCGCUGAGGAUGGCUUUUCUCCGCUGUAAGGAGGCGGAGGAAUAAGGAGAGGGCAAGACUGGUGUCAGCCGCCGCGGUAAUACCAGCUCUCCGAGUGGUAGGGGUGAUAUUGGGCUUAAAGCGUCCGUAGCCGGCCUGGCAAGUCUUCCGUUAAAUCCAGCAACCUAAUUGUUGGGCUGCGGGGGAUACUGUUAGGCUAGGGGGCGGGAGAGGCCGACGGUAUUCUCGGGGUAGGGGUGAAAUCUUAUAAUCCCGAGAGGACCACCAGUGGCGAAGGCUGUCGGCUAGCACGCGCCUGACGGUGAGGGACGAAAGCUGGGGGAGCGAACCGGAUUAGAUACCCGGGUAGUCCCUGCUGUAAACGAUGCGAGCUAGGUGUUGGGGCGGCUACGAGCCGCUUCAGUGCCGCAGCGAAGGCGUUAAGCUCGCCGCCUGGGGAGUACGGCCGCAAGGCUGAAACUUAAAGGAAUUGGCGGGGGAGCACCACAAGGCGUGAAGCUUGCGGUUCA
rnacentral:rRNA from 1 species